rnacentral:lncRNA from 1 species
UUUGUGUGUGGAUAAGCUAGAAAUUACAGAGAUAAAUUUUGGUUUGCCAGUAAGGGUUGACUUAUAUGAUUGAGCUGCGUGCACAAAAGGGACUUGACUUUGGAAUGAGGUGAUCCCCCCUUCUAAACCUUUUCUUACCAAAAAUAAAUUUGUCUCGAAUUACUAGUGGGAAAAGAGAUAGCUGGGAAAGGAAAGAGCGAAAGCAGAAGAAAGCAGAGUUGGAAUCAGUUAACUGAUCAUAUUUACUUGUCUCAGUAGCAUGAGAAUUGAAGAACUUUAUUACGUAAAUGUCUUCUGGGAGACUGACCUAAUCAGUUUUUUUCACUAGGUUUCGAGGUUCAGGUAACAUUGUUUAAGAGAGGGUGGACAUUAAUGCCACAGUAAAAAUGCGCAACAGCCAUGCUUAAUUUAGUUUUGCCUUUCCAGAUCAUCUCAUUCAAACUGUCC